rnacentral:lncRNA from 1 species
GUAGGAAAGUGCUGUCAUGCUUGUGGCACGAGUUCCAGCUCCAGACAGAGGUCAUGAUACAGACAGAGGUCAUGAUAUAGAUAGUACGUAUUACUACCAGUACUACGGCUCUAUUCAAGAGGUUUCUUCCAAAAUAGUUUCACUACUGGAGUAAAAGUCGGUGAAUUAAAAAAUAGUGGCUUCUUCUAGUUUCUAGUUCAUUUUAAUUUCGGC